AAGACUCGCACUUUGAGAUAAGCCUACGUCGGAUUAGCUUGUUGGUAGGGUAAAAGCCUACCAAGGCGACGAUCCGUAGCUGGUUUGAGAGGAUGAUCAGCCACACUGGGACUGAGACACGGCCCAG
rnacentral:rRNA from 1 species